rnacentral:rRNA from 1 species
UACGAAGGGGGGCUAGCGUUGUUCGGAAUUACUGGGCGUAAAGCGCACGUAGGCGGAUAUUUAAGUCAGGGGUGAAAUCCCAGAGCUCAACUCUGGAACUGCCUUUGAUACUGGGUAUCUUGAGUAUGGAAGAGGUGAGUGGAAUUCCGAGUGUAGAGGUGAAAUUCGUAGAUAUUCGCAAGAACACCAGUGGCGAAGGCGGCCGACUGGUCCGGUUCUGACGCUGAGGCGCGAAAGGCGUGGGGAGCAAACAGG